rnacentral:rRNA from 1 species
AUCCAGACUCCUACGGGAGGCAGCAGUGGGGAAUAUUGCACAAUGGGGGAAACCCUGAUGCAGCGACGCCGCGUGAGCGAUGAAGUAUUUCGGUAUGUAAAGCUCUAUCAGCAGGGAAGAAAAUGACGGUACCUGACUAAGAAGCCCCGGCUAACUACGUGCCAGCAGCCGCGGUAAUACGUAGGGGGCAAGCGUUAUCCGGAUUUACUGGGUGUAAAGGGAGCGUAGACGGCUGUGCAAGCCAGAUGUGAAAGCCCGGGGCUCAACCCCGGGACUGCAUUUGGAACUGUGUGGCUGGAGUGUCGGAGAGGCAGGCGGAAUUCCUAGUGUAGCGGUGAAAUGCGUAGAUAUUAGGAGGAACACCAGUGGCGAAGGCGGCCUGCUGGACGAUGACUGACGUUGAGGCUCGAAAGCGUGGGGAGCAAACAGGAUUAGAUACCCCUGUAC